GACGAACCGUGCGAACGUUGUUCGGAAUCACUGGGCUUAAAGGGCGCGUAGGCGGGCCGCCAAGUCCGCGGUGAAAUCCCCCGGCUCAACCGGGGAACUGCCGCGGAUACUGGAGGUCUCGAGGGAGGUAGGGGCAUGCGGAACUGCGGGUGGAGCGGUGAAAUGCGUUGAUAUCCGCAGGAACUCCGGUGGCGAAGGCGGCUCUCUGGGACGGUACUGACGCUGAGACGCGAAAGCGUGGGGAGCGAACAGG
rnacentral:rRNA from 1 species